UCGGGAAUAGCAGUAAAAUGCAUUGAAGUAUACAUCCUGUAUUAUGCUGUUAUUCACGAGA
rnacentral:pre_miRNA from 1 species